GGGCCCUAUUCCCUAUAUAGUACACUACUGUUGACCAGGGCCCUAUUCCCUAUAUAGUACACUAAUUUUGAUCAGAGGCCUAUUCCCUAUAUAGUGCACUAAUUUUGAUCAGAGGCCUGUGAGGAAUAGGGGGCCAAUUGGGACGCAGACUGUAUGUGAAACUGAUCAGUUUUUAAAUGUUUCUGCGGUUCUUAUUGGUUGUCUGAUUCUCUGACCAUGUCUGUGGUUGUUAUGGUUACCGUCUGAUCCAGUUCAUACAGACUGUUUUGGUUGUUGUUUCUUUGUUCUGUUUAUCUCUCUCUCUUUUUGUGGUUUAACUGUCUGUGGUCAGGUUCUGGCCAAUCAGAUGGGUCCGUGGUCAGGUUCUGGCCAAUCAGAUGGGUCAGGUUCUGGCCAAUCAGAUGGGUCAGGUUCUGGCCAAUCAGAUGGGUCAGGUUCUGGCCAAUCAGAUGGGUCAGGUUCUGGCCAAUCAGAUGGGUCCGGGUC
ensembl:lncRNA